UACAGGGGGGGGCAAGCGUUGUUCGGAAUUACUGGGCGUAAAGGGCCAGUAGGCGGCCAACUAAGUCCGACGUGAAAUCCCCAGGCUUAACCUGGGAGCUGCGUCGGAUACUGGAUGGCUUGAAUUCGGGAGAGGGAUGCAGAAUUCCAGGUGUAGCGGUGAAAUGCGUAGAUAUCUGGAGGAAUACCGGUGGCGAAGGCGGCAUCCUGGACCAUAACUGACGCUGAGGCGCGAAAGCUAGGGGAGCAAACGGGG
rnacentral:rRNA from 1 species